GACGAACCGUGCGAACGUUAUUCGGAAUCACUGGGCUUAAAGCGCGUGUAGGCGGGCCGCCGCGUCGGCUGCUGAAAUCCCCCGGCUCAACCGGGGAACGGGCACCGAUACGGGCGGCCUCGAGGGGGGUAGGGGGUCUGGGAACUUCCGGUGGAGCGGUGAAAUGCGUUGAGAUCGGAAGGAACGCCCGUGGCGAAAGCGAGGUCCUGGACGCCUACUGACGCUGAGACGCGAAAGCCAGGGGAGCGAACGGG
rnacentral:rRNA from 1 species